UUUCAUCUGCAGGAGCUGUAUUACCUGAUAUAGAUGACAAAAAAUGAUACAAGCAGACAUUUCAGUUAAAAAAAAAAAAAAUUAAUUAAGUGGCUGAGCUAGAUACCACAUAAAGAUAUACAUAGGAAAAGUGUAAAUAACAAUCAAGAUUUGAUGAAACCAUCAAACAUGUUAUAACCAGAAACUAUAGUAACAAAGAAUCAGCUUAUCCUGCAAAAUUAGCCGGCAGUUUAAGCAUCAGGAUAGGGAUUAUCAAUGAGGUAACAUGGUAUCAGAGUUAAAAAUUUCUGUUUUUGAUCCAAUGUACUAGCAGACACAGUCACAGAUGCAAAAACCAACGAUAGGCUUUAUGUGCCAGUAACAGAAAUUAGGAAACACUGGCAGAACGUUGAUUCACAGAUAUGGAAGGAUGUCUAUUUCAUAUAAUUUCAGUAAAAAGUUUCUGCAAGAGUUGGGGAGAGAGAGAGAGAAUCCCCAGACUAAUUUUUACUCAAAAAAUAAAUAAAAAGAAGAAGCAAGUAAAGCAAGAAAUCACGAGAGGAG
rnacentral:misc_RNA from 1 species